AAGUCGUAACAAGGUUUCCGUAGGUGAACCUGCGGAAGGAUCAUUACAAAUCCAUCACGUCUCUCUCACCGAGACACCGUCUAAAUGUUCUCGGGUCAUUGAGCCAUAUGGCUCCAGUGUUGGUGAGCCUAGCGCACGCCACCUGGUGUCGGCUCGAUGCCCGGCCCCCCUUUAUAACCUAGUGUGACUGUUGCUUCAUAUGUAUUGUUUCUUUGUUGAACACAACACGAGAACAACUUAUAACAAUGGAUCUCUAGGCUCUU
rnacentral:misc_RNA from 1 species